GGAACGCACCGUAUGUGUUAUUCAAAAGCAGUGGCAAGUCCAAGCUCCUAUCUUAAUCCUCGCUUGUUAUUAUGGAAGCCUGGAUCCAGCUUUUGAAGGAUAAGAGAUUUCACAGAUCAUUGAUUAUAAAGGCAAUAGCCAACACCAACACCCCAGACAUGAGAGGGAUGCUACCUUCGAUGCAGCCUCCCUACCCGGCCCCAGUCAAGCCACCGAUGACUGCUACUACAUGAGUAAGCCCAGGAGUGGGACUGGUGGCUCCGUAAGAAGAGGAGGAGGCACCUGAGCUAGCACACUCAGCUCCCUCACCAUGUGAUGCCCUGCAUCCCCUCAAGACUCUGCAGAGUCCUUACCAACAAGACAGCACUCACCAAAUGCAGCCCUUAGA